rnacentral:lncRNA from 13 species
GGUCAGGUUAUGCGAUCUCAUGAGGCAAAACUGGCCACAGAGAUUUUAGUAUACUCUUACUCGCACGCACGAGCACACACACACACACACACACACNNNNNNNNNNAGGCGCACAUAGUGUAGAGGAUUGGUGAAGAUACUGAUGGGGAUGCACAGCUGCACGUAGAAAGCAGAAGCCGGUUCUCACUCUUCAGCUCCCCAUCCCCACAACGGGACUACCGCCAUCCUCCCUCUCCGAAGACAGGGGGGGGGGGGGGUUGCCAUAUAGGGGCUCAGAAACAUGGAGUGGAUCCGAGGAGGGAGAGGGGAAUCUUUUCACUCCUGGUGUUGGAUGUCAUGCUCUGCUCUGCGUAGUGAUAGGAAGAGAGUGAGAUUACUCCAUACCCUGUAAGGCACACAAUCAACAAGGCAUUGUGGAGCUGCAGCCCAGCGGAUCUCUUAUCUCAGGUAGAUGGGGGGGAACAGCAGGUACUGUGGAGUCCCCCCCCCCCCCUUCUCUCUCAGUGUAUGCUCACUCACAGGACGAAGAGAAGUAGGUAGUCGAGGUGUAAGGGACGGGGUGGCUGAAGGGCGGCGUUCCUCAGACGGAGCAGAGCAGAACGCUCUCUCCUCCUCUCCCCUUGUCAUUGGUAUGCAGUGGCUGUUCCCCAGGCGACAGGGCCACUGGGUUCGGGCUGAGCUUACUGCAAGAGGAACGUCAGCGACACAGAGGAGAGGAGGACAGCAGGUAAGGGUAAUGAGAACAGGCAUAGAAAGGAAAGGAGGAAAGAGAGAAGGAGGGAAGAAGAGGACAAGCGAAAGGAGGGCAAGAUGUCCCAAGGGGCUUUGGGGGUGAGGCACCCCCUGACCCUUCGCACUCCGUACACUGUCCAGACACUAACACACACACACACACACACACACACACACACACACACACACACACACACACACACACACACACACACACACACACACACACACACACACACACACACACACACACACACACACACACAAACUAUUUUAAAAAAGGGUUCCAAAAGGGUUAUUUGACUGUCCCCAUAGGAGAACCCUUUUUGGUUCCAGGUAGAAAAUGUGGAAAGGGUUCUACAUGAAACCCAAACGGGUUCUACCUGGAACCAAAAAUAGUUAAUCAAAGGUUUCUCCAAUAGGGACAGCCAAUGAACCCAUUUAGGUUCUAGAUAGCACCUUUUUGUUUCUAAGUAUACAGUGCAUUCGGAAAGUAUUCAGACCUCUUCACUUUUUCCACAUGUUGUUAUGUUACAGCCUUAUUCUAUAACGGAUUACAUUUUUUUUUAAAUUCCCCUUAUCAAUCUAUACACAAUACCCCAUAAUGACAAAGCAAAAACAGGUUUUUAGACAUUUUUGCAGACAAUGAGUAAAAAAUAUCGCUUUUACAGAAAUAUUCAGACCCUUUACUUACUUUGUUGGAGCACCUUUGGCAGCAAUUACAGCAUUGAGCCUUCCUGGGUAUGACGCUACAAGGUUGGCACACAUGUAUUUGGGGUGUUUCUCCCAUUUUUCUCUGCAGAUCCUCUCAAGCUCUGUCAGGUUGGAUGGGGAGCAUCGCUGCACAGCUAUUAUCAGGUCUCUCCAGAAAUGUUUGAUCACUUUCAAGUCUGGACUCUUGUUGGGCCACUCAAGGACAUUCAGAGACUUGUUCCGAAGCCACUCCUGCAUUGUCUUGGCUGUGUGCUUAGGGUCUUUGUCCUGUUGGAAGGUGAACCUUCACCCCAGUCUGAGGUCCUGAGAGCUCUGAAGCAGGUUUUCAUCAAGGAUCUCUCUGUACUUUGCUCUGUUCAUCUUUCCCCCGAUCCUGAUUAGUCUCCCAGUCCCUGCCACUGAAAAAAUAUUGCCACAGAAUGAUGCUGCCACCACCAUGCUUCACCGUAGGAUUGGUGCCAGGUUUCCUCCAGAAGUGACUCUUUGCAUUCAGGCCAAAGAGUUCAAUCUUGGUUUCAUCAGACCAAAGAAUGUUGUUUCUCAUGGUCUGAUAGUCUUUAGGUGCCUUUUGGCAAACUCCAAGUGGACUGUUAUGUGCCUUUUACUGAGGAGUGGCAUCCAUCUAGCUACUCUAACGGCCUGAUUGGUGGAGUGCUGCAGAGAUGGUUUUCCUUCUGGAAGGUUCUCCCAUCUCCACAGAGGAACUCUCACGGAAAUACUUUCCGAAUGCACUGUAUAUGUAUUAAAGGUCCAAUGCAGUUGUUUUAUUCUCAAUAUCAAAUAUAAUUUGUAGGUAACAGUUAAGUACCUUACUGUGAUUAUUUUUUAAGUAAAAUGGUCAAGAAGAAAAAAAAUGUGCUUUUUCGCAAAGAGCACUGGGCCUUUAAUGCCAAAACACCCGACUAGACACUUUAUGUCAAGCGCACAUCAUGUAUCCAAAAAGCAAGAACAAAUGUAUUCUCUCUCACAAACACACAAGGGGAGUUUGGGUAAUGUUUGGUACUUUUGGCUUUUUUCUUUGUAAGAGCCUUUAUGACUAUAUAGUGAUAAUGUAAUGCUUCUUGAGAUACAUAUGUUAUAUCUUGAGCUUUACAGCAUAUGAUUUUGUCCAAUAUAUUGUGUUUUAUUAUGUUGUUACGUAAACAUGUUUUUUUUCUUCAAAUAAAUGUUUUACAUUUUUGAGAAUAGUGUUAUAAAGAAAGCAAAUGAUUGAAUGCAAACUGUGUAAAAUGUCAUUACAAAUUGUGUUAAAAUAAACAGAUUAAUAUUACACAUUUGUCUGUGUCUUUUGGUAUUUCUAGGGAUCUCUAUAGCCUACUGUAUAUUUUCAACCCUGGUCAUAUAUACUGAACAAAAAUAUAAAAGUAACAUGCAAAUUUCAAAGAUUUUGCUGAAUUACAGUUUAUAUACGGAAAACAAAUAAAAUAUUAUUUGUCACUUGCGCCAAAUAUAACCUUACCAUGAACUUGCUCUUAACAAGCAAUGCAGUUCAAGAAAAAGAGUUAACAAAAUAUUAACUAAAUAAACUAAAAACGAAGAUUGUGAUCACAGAGUCGUCCGGAACAGCUGGCGCUCUCAUGCAUGCUUCAGUGUUGCUUGUCUCAAAGCGAAUAUUAAAGGAAUUUAGCUUGUCUGGUAGGCUCACAUCACUGGGAAGCUCAUGACUGGGUUUCCCUUUGUAGUCCAUAAUAGUUUGCAAGCCUUGUCACAUCCGACGAGCGUCAGAGCCGGUGUAGUAGGAUUCAAUCUUAGUCCUGUAUUGACGCCUUGCUUGUUCGAUGGUUCUUCUGAGGGCAUAUGGGGAUUUCCUAUAAGUAUGCGAAUUAGUGUCCCCCUCCUUGAAAUCGGCAGCUCCAGCCUUUAGCUCGGUGCGGAUAUUGCCUGUAAUCCAUGGCUUCUGGUUGGGAUAUGUACAUAUGGUUAAUGUGGGGACGACGUAGUCGAUGUGAUUAAUGAUCGGUGACUGAGGUGGUAUAUUUGUCAAUGCCAUUGGAUGAAUCCCAGAACAUGUUCCAGUCUGUGCUGGUCAAACAGUCCUGUAGCAUAGUAUCCGUGUCAUCUGACCACUUCUGCAUUGUGCGAGUCAGUGGUACCUCCUGCUUUAGUUUUUGGUUGUAAGCAGGAAUCAGGAGGAUAGAAUUAUGGUCAGAUUUGCCAAAAGGUGGUCAAGGGAGAGCUUUGUAUGCGUCUUUUCUUUUGUGUGGAGUAAAGGUGUUCUGAAGUUUUUUUCCCUCUGGUUGCAUAUGUGACAUGCUGGUAGAAAUGAUGUAAAACGGAUUUAAGUUUGCCUGCAUUAAAGUCCCUGACCACUAGGAGCCCCGCUUCUGGAUGAGCAUUUUCUUGCUUAUGGCUUCAUACAGCUCGUUGAGUGCGGUCUUAGUGCCAACAUCAGUUUGUGGUGGUAAAUAGACGGCUACAAAAAUAUUGAUGAAACCUCUCUUGGUAGAUAGUGUGGUCUACAGCUUAUCGUGAGGUACUCUACCUCAGGUGAGCAAUACCUCGAGACUUCCUGAAAACUAGACAUUGCGCACCAGCUAUUAUUUAAAAGUAGACACACACUCUCACCCGUGGUCUUACCAGACAUAGCUGUUCUCUCCUGCUGAUGCACGGAAAACCCAGCCAACUGUAUAUUAUCCAUCAAUUGAAAUAAAUUCAUUAGGCCAUAAUCUAUGGAUUUCACAUGACUGGGAAGGAGAGCAGCCAUUAGUGGGCUUGGGAGGGCAUACAGUUGAAGUUGGAAGUUUACAUACACCUUUGCCAAAUACAUUUCAACUCAGUUUUUCACAAUUCCUGACAUUUAAUCCAAGUAAAAAUGUCCUGUUUUAGGUCAGUUAGGAUCACCACUUUAUUUUAAGAAUGUGAAAUGUCAGAUAAUAUUAGAGUGAAUGAUUUAUUUCAGCUUUUAUUUCUUUCAUCACAUUCCCAGUGAGUCAGAAGUUUACAUACACUCAAUUGUUUGUUUAAAUUGAUUAACUUGUGUCAAAUAUUUAGUGUAGCCUUCCACAAGCUUCCCACAAUAAGUUGGGUGAAUUUUGGCACAUUCCUCCUGACAGACCUGGUGUAACUUUUUUUUUUUUUUUUUUUUUUUUUUUUUUUUU